rnacentral:rRNA from 1 species
ACGGGUGAGGAACACGUGGAGAAUCUGGCGUGAGGUGGGGGAUAUCCUGCAGAAAUGGGGGGUAAUCCCGCAUACGCUCUCUUUGGGAGGUCAAGGAGAGGAAAGCCUUGGGGCAACCUGGGGCGCCUGAUGGGGACUCCGCGGCCGAUUAGCUAGUUGGGGGGGUAACGGCCUCCCAAGGCGACGAUCGGUAGCUGGUCUGAGAGGAUGAUCAGCCACACUGGGAUUGAGAACGGCCCAGACUCCUACGGGGGGCAGCAGUGAGGGAUCUUCGGCAAUGGGGGCAACCCUGACCGAGCGACGCCGCGUGCAGGAUGACGGCCUUCGGGUUGUAAACUGCUUUUCUUCGGGACGAGAAACGGACGGUACCGGAGGAAGAAGCCUCGGCUAACUACGUGCCAGCAGCCGCGGUAAUACGUAGGAGGCGAGCGUUGUCCGGAGUUACUGGGCGUAAAGGGUGCGCAGGCGGUCGCGCGCAGUGUGGAGUGAAAUCUCCCGGCUUACCUGGGAGGGGGCUUUGCAGACGGCGCGACUUGAGGGUCGGAGAGGGGCGUGGAAUUCCGGGUGGAGCGGUGAAAUGCGUAGA